GAGUUCUCCAGUCCGACGAUCCCCGGUAAUGGCGUGUAAUUAAUACCAGGGUGGAUUUCUCUGAUUAUCGACCUCUUCCCUCCUCCGGGGGUGUGGGGACAUGGAAAAUGUGCUCAGAAUUCCUGCAGCAGAAUGCCACUGUGGGUGGCCGGGGUCUCUGG